rnacentral:rRNA from 1 species
UACGGAGGGUGCGAGCGUUAUCCGGAAUUACUGGGUUUAAAGGGUGCGUAGGCGGCUAUGUAAGUCAGGAGUGAAAGUUUGCGGCUCAACCGUAAAAUUGCUUUUGAUACUGCAUGGCUAGAAUCAGGAUGAGGUUAGCGGAAUGUGGCAUGUAGCGGUGAAAUGCAUAGAUAUGCCAUAGAACACCAAUUGCGAAGGCAGCUGGCUAGACCUGCAUUGACGCUGAGGCACGAAAGCGUGGGGAGCGAACAGG